rnacentral:lncRNA from 1 species
CUCUCUCUUCUCUGCCUCUUGUCUGCCUGUCUAUCUCCACCUCCUCUCUCUUCUCUGUCUCUUGUCUGUCUGUCUGUCUGUCUCCACCUCCUCUCUCCUCUGCCUCUGUCUGUCUGUCUCUGUCUCUCUUCUCUAUGUCUCCUUUUUCUCUGUGUCUGUCUCCCCUUCUCUCUCU